rnacentral:rRNA from 1 species
CUUAAUGGGGUGACUGCGUACCUUUUGUAUAAUGGGUCAGCGACUUAUAUUCUGUAGCAAGGUUAACCGAAUAGGGGAGCCGAAGGGAAACCGAGUCUUAACUGGGCGUUAAGUUGCAGGGUAUAGACCCGAAACCCGGUGAUCUAGCCAUGGGCAGGUUGAAGGUUGGGUAACACUAACUGGAGGACCGAACCGACUAAUGUUGAAAAAUUAGCGGAUGACUUGUGGCUGGGGGUGAAAGGCCAAUCAAACCGGGAGAUAGCUGGUUCUCCCCGAAAGCUAUUUAGGUAGCGCCUCGUGAAUUCAUCUCCGGGGGUAGAGCACUGUUUCGGCAAGGGGGUCAUCCCGACUUACCAACCCGAUGCAAACUGCGAAUACCGGAGAAUGUUAUCACGGGAGACACACGGCGGGUGCUAACGUCCGUCGUGAAGAGGGAAACAACCCAGACCGCCAGCUAAGGUCCCAAAGUCAUGGUUAAGUGGGAAACGAUGUGGGAAGGCCCAGACAGCCAGGAUGUUGGCUUAGAAGCAGCCAUCAUUUAAAGAAAGCGUAAUAGCUCACUGGUCGAGUCGGCCUGCGCGGAAGAUGUAACGGGGCUAAACCAUG